UACGUAGGGUGCGAGCGUUGUCCGGAAUCACUGGGCGUAAAGGGCGCGUAGGCGGCCCGGUAAGUAGGGGGUGAAAUCUUGCGGCUCAACCGUAAGACUGCCUUCCAAACUGCCAGGCUGGAGCACAGUAGAGGCAGGUGGAAUUCCCGGUGUAGCGGUGGAAUGCGUAGAGAUCGGGAAGAACAUCGGUGGCGAAGGCGGCCUGCUGGGCUGUUGCUGACGCUGAGGCGCGAAAGCGUGGGGAGCAAACAGG
rnacentral:rRNA from 1 species